CGCGGCCUAUCAGCUUGUUGGUGAGGUAACGGCUCACCAAGGCAUCGACGGGUAGCUGGCCUGAGAGGACGAUCAGCCACACUGGGACUGAGACACGGCCCAGACUCCUACGGGAGGCAGCAGUAGGGAAUCUUGCGCAAUGGGCGAAAGCCUGACGCAGCAACGCCGCGUGGGGGAUGAAUGCCUUCGGGUUGUAAACCCCUUUCAGCAGGGACGAAAAUGACGGUACCUGCAGAAGAAGCUCCGGCCAACUACGUGCCAGCAGCCGCGGUAAUACGUAGGGAGCGAGCGUUGUCCGGAAUUAUUGGGCGUAAAGAGCUCGUAGGCGGUUCAGUAAGUCGGGUGUGAAAACUCAAGGCUCAACCUUGAGACGCCACUCGAUACUGCUGUGACUUGAGUCCGGUAGAGGAGUGUGGAAUUCCUGGUGUAGCGGUGAAAUGCGCAGAUAUCAGGAGGAACACCAGCGGCGAAGGCGGCACUCUGGGCCGGUACUGACGCUGAGGAGCGAAAGCAUGGGGAGCAAACAGGAUUAGAUACCCUGGUAGUCCAUGCCGUAAACGUUGGGCACUAGGUAUGGGAUCAUAUCAACGGAUUCCGUGCCGUAGCUAACGCAUUAAGUGCCCCGCCUGGGGAGUACGG
rnacentral:rRNA from 1 species